rnacentral:lncRNA from 1 species
GGCGUAUGAUGCAUGUCCAACUACCUGCCCAUCUCCACAGUACAGGGCCCCAUGACCUCAGAGCUCAAACUACCUUCUAAAGAAUAAUCUUGGCCACUUUUCCAAGCAUUUAUAUCAGCUACUUACAGUGCCAAAUCAGACAUUGGCUACAGCUAUGAUAUAUGAUACAAGCCAUUUCUCUUUCUGAGAGAUACAACUUACAGUUAAUUUCCCAUGAAGACAACAAACACAGUUUGGCAGACGGACAGCGAGAUGAAGUCGAUACCUAUCUGCUCAUGUUUGGGUAUGUCCCAAAUGGAACACUUUUGCCACAUAUAGUGCACUACAUUUGACCAAGGGCAGUGCACUAAAUAAGAAAAUAGGGUGCCAUUUGGAAUGCACAACCUCUUUUCAUUCUGAUAUUCCAGACUUGUACCGUAGUGAUGUCAUCCUGAACCUUCACUUCCACACCACAGUCAUCUGGACUAUACAGCACUACAAAUAAACAGGUACCUGUUCAGCGUGAUAUAAACAUGAUAGAAACAUGAAGAUCGUUAGCAUCACAUUAGCGAUUUGGUUCUAUUUGUAUAUAACCUUUAUUUAUCCGUGUUUAACCUUUAUUUAACCUUUAUUUAUCCAUGAAGUCAUGUUGAUUAAAGACCUCUUUAGAAGGGAGAUAUUGUUUUACCAGCCACUGUUCAGUGGUACCAAUGUCCACUAAUAAUCACACCACCAAGUCCGCCAUGGUGUAGUAGUGUGUAGUAGUGUGUAGCCGUGUAUAGUAGUGUGUAGCAGUGUGUAGUAGUGUGUAGUAGUGUGUAGUAAUGUGUGGUAGUGUGUAGAAAUGUUCAGUAGUGUUUAGUAGUGUGUAGUAGUGUGUAGUAGUGUGUAGUAGUGUGUAGAAAUGUUCAGUAGUGUAUAGUAGUGUAUAGUAGUGUGUAGUAGUGUAUAGUAGUGUGUAGUAGUGUGUGGUAGUGUGUAGUAGUGUGUAGUAGUGUUUAGUAGGCCAUAGUAGUGUGUAGUAGUGUAUAGUAGUGUAUAGUAGGCCAUAGUAGUGUGUAGUAGUGUAUAGUAGUGUGUAGUAGUGUGUAGAAAUGUUCAGUAGUGUGUAGAAAUGUAUAGCAGUGUGUAGUAGUGUUUAGUAGGCCAUAGUAGUGUGUAGUAGUGUGUAGUAGUGUGUAGUAGGCCAUAGUAGUGUGUAGUAGUGUGUAGUAGUGUUUAGUAGUGUGUAGUAGUGUGUAGUAGUGUGUAGUAGUGUGUAGCAGUGUAUAGUAGUGUUUAGUAGUGUGUAGCAGUGUAUAGUAGUGUUUAGUAGUGUGUAGUAGUGUUUAGUAGUCCAUAGUAGUGUGUAGUACUGUGUAGUAGGCCAUAGUAGUGUGUAGUAGUGUGUAGUACUGUGUAGUAGGCCAUAGUAGUGUGUAGUAGUAUAUAGCAGUGUAUAGUAGUGUAUAGUAGUGUGUAGUAGUAUAUAGCAGUGUAUAGUAGUGUAUAGUAGUAUAUAGCAGUGUGUAGUAGUAUAUAGUAGUGUAUAGUAGUGUAGUGUAGUAGUGUAUAGUAGUGUAUUGUAGUGUGUAGUAGUGUGUAGUAGUGUGUAGUAGUAUAUAGUAGUGUAUAGUAGUGUAUAGUAGUGUAUAGUAGUGUAUAUUAGUGUAUUGUAGUGUAUAGUAGUGUAUUGUAGUGUGUAGUAGUGUGUAGCAGUGUGUAGUAGCAUAUAGUAGUGUGUAGUAGUAUGUAGUAGGCCAUAGUAGUGUAUAGUAGUGUGUAGUAGUGUAUAGUAGUGUGUAGUAGUGUGUAGUAGGCCAUAGUAGUGUAUAGUAGUGUGUAGUGGUGUGUAGUAGUGUGUAGUAGUGUAUAGUAGUGUAUAGUAGUGUGUAGUAGUGUGUAGUAGGCCAUAGCAGUGUAUAGUAGUGUAUUGUAGUGUGUAGUAGUGUAUAGCAGUGUGUAGUAAGAGUCUUCCCUGUAGCUCAGUUGGUAGAGCAUGGUGUUUGCAACGCCAGGGUUGUGGAUUCGAUUCCCACGGGGGACCAGUACGGGGAAAAAAAUUUAUGAAAUGUAUGCAUUCACUACUGUUAAUCGCUCUGGAUUAGAGCGUCUGCUAAAUGACUCAAAUGUAAAUGUAGUCUGUAGCAGUGUGUAGUAGCAGUGUGUAGUAGCAGUGUGUAGUAGCAGUGUAGUAGCGUGUAGUAGUGUGUAGUAGCAGUGUAUAGCAGUGUGUAGUAGUGUGAAGUAGUAUAUAGCAGUGUGUAGUAGUAUAUAGCAGAGUAGUAUGUUGUAGUGUGUAGUAGUGUGUAGUAGUGUAUAGUAGUUGUAUAUAGUAGUAUAUAGCAGUAUAUAGUAGUAUAUAGUAGUAUAUAGUAGUGUGUAGCAGUAUAUAGUAGUGUGUAGUAGUAUAUAGUAGUUGUAUAGUAGUAUAUAGUAGUAUAUAGUAGUAUAUAGCAGUGUGUUGUAUAGUAGUAUAUAGUAGUAUAUAGUAGUAUAUAGUAGUAUAUAGUAGUGUGUAGUAUAUAGUAGUAUAUAGUAGUAUAUAGUAGUGUAUAGCAGUGUGUUGCAGGCCAUAGUAGUGAGGUCAUAAAGAGACAUGCGUUGUCUCCUCUAACUGUGACUCACAGAGAUAACUAGUGAACUUCCUGCUAGACUCCUACAGUCAUUUCCUAUUUAAAAGUUAUAUUGGCUUCCAGGGCAUUAUCACUUUUAAACAGCGGGUUACCAGCACAUUCAAAUAAUGAUUGACAUAUUUUCAUUAAAAACGCUAUUUUUAUUAAUUUAUUCAUACUAUUUCAACCUUCCACGAGAUAUAGUCCCAACACAAAUCUAGGGUUGCUACCAAAGCAGGCUGGUCGUUCAUUAAAUCGGUUGGGUUGCCAGGGACUCGACCCAGUCGUUCAGUCUAUUUGUUCUGUAUCUAUGGACCCAGUCGUUCAGUCUAUUUGUUCUGUAUCUAUGGACGCGACCCAGUCGUUCAGUCUAUUUGUUCUGUAUCUAUGGACGCGACCCAGUCGUUCAGUCUAUUUGUUCUGUAUCUAUGGACGCGACCCAGUCGUUCAGUCUAUUUGUUCUGUAUCUAUGGACGCGACCCAGUCGUUCAGUCUAUUUGUUCUGUAUCUAUGGACCCAGUCGUUCAGUCUAUUUGUUCUGUAUCUAUGGACGCGACCCAGUCGUUCAGUCUAUUUGUUCUGUAUCUAUGGACGCGACCCAGUCGUUCGGUCUAAAUGUUCCAUUGCCGUACUGGCUGGCAACGUUCUUAUCGCUAGCUAGCCAACUACGGCUAACUUAGUCACGUCAACAAGCCAGAAUAACAGUGAAGUAGCUGCAUUUGUUUAAGCUGUUUUCAAGUGACAUGUAUUUGGAUACAUCCAUAACAAUGAGCCAAUGAGGCGAUAUUUCGCCUGGGAUAGAAAAUGUGCUCACUCAUCAGGACACUGUUGUUCAGAGGAGCAGGCCAACCACACGGUCAACCGCACGGCCAACCACACAGCCAUCAACACAGCCAACCACACAGCCAUCAACACAGCCAACAGCACAGCCAACAGCACAGCCAACCACACAGCCAACCACACAGCCAUCAACACAGCCAACCACACAGCCAACCACACAGCCAACCACACAGCCAACCACACAGCCAUCAACACAGCCAUCAACACAGCCAUCAACACAGCCAUCAACACAGCCAACAGCACAGCCAACCACACAGCCAACAACACAGCCAUCAACACAGCCAUCAACACAGCCAUCAACACAGCCAACAACACAGCCAUCAACACAGCCAACAACACAGCCAACAACACAUUCACUUCAAACUGAAGCUGGAAAGACUGUAAACUAGCUGCACUUCAUUUCGUUUGACCUGUUUUCUAUUGACAUGUAUUUGUAUGUAUCAAUAAAAAUGAUUCUGAUUCAUGAUUUCGACUGGUUGAGAAAAGCUGGCUGCCUGUCUGUCUCAUCCCGACUCCCAACCCCGACACGUUCAUUACUCUUUACUUUUUUAAAUGUAACCUUUAUUUAACUAGGCAAGUCAGUUAAGAACAAAUUCUUAUUUACAAAUGGGACAGUUGGAGAUCGAAUUUCAAUAUUAACUUAAAACAAUGUUGCAAACGUCAGAGGGAUAAACAGCGAGGUUUAUACAAAUCUCCGCUGUUGAAAAAGCAAAUGCUAGUUUAAAAGAAAUGGGAGAUAAUGUCUAAAAUCUUUUUACAGUUUUACAAGUUUAUACAUUGUCUGGCUGGGCUGAUGAGACAGUGGAUGCGCAGUGAGAUGGAACAAGCCAUUAAACUUCUGGAACAUACACUGGCUGGAAAGCGAUUUUAUCCAAUCAGCAUCCAGGAUAAUUUUAUUUUAUGUAACCUUUGUUUACUAGGCAUUAGACCCACCUGUAUAUAAAACCCAAAUAUUUACCCUCUCAUUACCCUUCGUUCUGUGAAUAUCAACCAGAGGACAGAGCGUGUCCCUAUUCCUUACAUAGUGUACUACUUUUGACCAGAGGGAAUAGGGAAUAGGGUACCAUUUGAGACACAGCCCUGUGAGUCAGCAGUUAUUAAACCUUUCAGACUCUGGUCCACUUACCCUCCUAUCUCAGCACUGAUGUUGGAAAUGAGUCAGUCUGAGUCUCACUCUCUCUCUCUCUCUGCAUCUCCUAUCUCAGCACUGAUGUUGGAAAUGAGUCAGUCUGAGUCUCUCUCUCUCUCUCUCUGCAUCUCCUAUCUCAGCAUUGAUGUUGGAAAUGAGUCAGUCUGAGUCUCUCUCUCUCUCUCUCUCUCUCUGCAUCUCCUAUCUCAGCACUGAUGUUGGAAAUGAGUCAGUCUGAGUCUCUCUCUCUCUCUGCAUCUCCUAUCUCAGCACUGAUGUUGGAAAUGAGUCAGUCUGAGUCUCUCUCUCUCUCUCUCUGC